rnacentral:ncRNA from 1 species
AACUAGAUGUGGUUGAUCUCUCUGUUCAGAGGUGAUCCAAGGAGUUACCUCAGGAAUAUGUGGCUUGUGGAGAAUGAGCAUUCACGGCUAUAUCAUGUUUUGAUUCUUCACUGUUGGCUUUUCCUCUCAUUGCAAAAGAGAAUGCACCAGUUAUUGGAGUAUUCACCUGGUGAUAAGGAAUGUGAGGUUGGCUUAGACUACUAUGAAGAAGGUGAGCUUUAC